ACAUACGCAUCCUUUGCUGAAGGCAAUGGUUAACGGAGCGAAAGCGACGUUCAACCGCAAAACAAGCAGAGGGGGCUUAGUGGUGGGGUGACUGCGUACCUUUUGUAUAAUGGGUCAGCGACUUAUAUUCUGUAGCAAGGUUAACCGAAUAGGGGAGCCGCAGGGAAACCGAGUCUUAACCGGGCGUUAAGUUGCAGGGUAUAGACCCGAAACCCGGUGAUCUAGCCAUGGGCAGGUUGAAGGUUGGGUAACACUAACUGGAGGACCGAACCGACUAAUGUUGAAAAAUUAGCGGAUGACCUGUGGCUGGGGGUGAAAGGCCAAUCAAACCGGGAGAUAGCUGGUUCUCCCCGAAAGCUAUUUAGGUAGCGCCUCGUGAAUUCAUCUCCGGGGGUAGAGCACUGUUUCGGCUAGGGGGCCAUCCCGGCUUACCAACCCGAUGCAAACUGCGAAUACCGGAGAAUGUUAUCACGGGAGACACACGGCGGGUGCUAACGUCCGUCGUGAAGAGGGAAACAACCCAGACCGCCAGCUAAGGUCCCAAAGUCAUGGUUAAGUGGGAAACGAUGUGGGAAGGCCCAGACAGCCAGGAUGUUGGCUUAGAAGCAGCCAUCAUUUAAAGAAAGCGUAAUAGCUCACUGGUCGAGUCGGCCUGCGCGGAAGAUGUAACGGGGCUAAACCAUG
rnacentral:rRNA from 1 species